GGGGCCGUAGCUCAGUUGGGAGAGCGCUACAAUGGCAUUGUAGAGGUCAGGGGUUCGAUUCCACUCGGCUCCACCA
rnacentral:tRNA from 1 species